UUGUAAAAUUAGUUGAUUUUUAAAUUACACUGUCACUAGUCCACAAAACUCCACUGGUCCAUAAUAUAUAACUUGUGAUAAAUAAAUAUACUUUAAAUGUCCAAGUAUCGAGAGAUCACGAUAAAACAGUUGCGCCGGAGAAAAAAUAAUAGUAUGGCGUUUGGUAGAUUCACUGGGACCUAACUGAGAUCGAAAACAAGAAAAACUCGAGAACCCGGUGAGGAUGACCAAUCACACUAUACAAUGUUUACCUCCUACUCAGGAGUGUAGCCUUGCCGGAGUUACUCGAGGCUUCCCGAAGUAGUCCCUAGCCGGCGAUCCCCUCUUCCUCUCGAGCCGCGCUCUCGGCGUCCCGCGCAGCCCUCGCCAAUGAACUUCACUCCACGCGACCUACAAUUUAGGGCGCCCGAGCCACCGAAAUCCAGCACGUGGAGGCUGCCGGAGUGGUUUCCGACUUGCACGCGCGUGUACGCUCCGAGGGGAUGGGUGAGCAAGACGAGGACGGAGAAUAUCUACCACUCCACCUCUAUCUGCUAUAUGUUUACAAGAGUACGUUCACUACCGCACUAGCACCACGGACCGGGGGGACAAGAGCAAGAGGAAAGGAAUAAAAAGAAGGGGCGAAAGAGUGCAGAGGACGCGGUGACCUGCGGAUUGGCUUUGACGCGUGCAUUCAACAUACAUGCACUCAAUGUGUGUAUAUUUUGUUGGAUCUGUGUUAGGUGAUAAGGAUGCGAGUUUUUUAGGUAUCAAUGUGUUGUGUCGUAUGUAUUUAUGUAUAAAUGUGUACCAACCAGAUCAUUGAUACAUACUAUGCUCAUGCUUGUUUUACUUUUUACGUUAAGAAUAAAAGUCUUUACAUUUUUCGCUUUCACCUAGCAAGCAUUUCUUCAGUGCAUUUUUAUUUUCUUCUUUAUGUUUGCACAUGGAAAUUUAUAUUUUUAUGUUUUUAGAUAAUUAA